rnacentral:rRNA from 1 species
UGCUAAGGUAGCAUAAUCAUUUGCCUUUUAAUUGGAGGCUAGUAUGAAAGGAUAAACAAGAAUAUAGCUGUCUCUUAUAAUUAAUUAAAAACUAGAGUUCAGGUGAAGAUACCUGAAUAUUUAUAAAGGACAAGAAGACCCUACAGAGCUUUAUUAGAAAAAGACUAAAUCUUAUACUAAUUUGGUUGGGACAACCAAAAGACAUAAAAACCUCUUAUACUUACUUUUUAUUUAACCUGAAAAGAUAAAAACGAAGCUACCUUAGGGAUAACAGGCUAAUCUUACUAAAG